AUGACUAACUAGGGGAGUCCAAUGAGUUGGGCUGAGAGGGAAGCGCGAUGAAGCUUCUUGACUCUUUGGACCUGAUCUGGAUCAUGCCAGCGUAGGGAAGUUAACGGUUACACUC
rnacentral:ncRNA from 2 species